rnacentral:sRNA from 1 species
AGAGCCCUGCUGCCAGGAUCACCAGCAGGGCUAGCAGAGUUCUGACACUGCCUUUGCGUUAAUAUAGAGCCACAACGACCCGGCGCAGCAAAGACAGCGGCCUUCCUCAUGCAUCUCCUGGGAGGUGGUGGAGGCCACAUGCGCCUGCCUGCUUGCUCAGGGAGAAGAGGCCGAGAAAGAACACUGCUCCAAGUGCCUGGCAGAGCAGAUGAUCCUGGAGGAAUUUGGAAGAAAUAAGUUCUCCGGAUGGGCUGUUGUGAUACCACUUAAAAUCUCUAGAGAACUACUGAACACCUAAAGAUUUUCUGUAGCGUAGAUAUUUCCCCAGAGGCACGCGAACUGUCAGUCUUUCCUAAGGCCCCCGGGAGACGCAGGCAAUGGGGCCUCGCAGGCCGGGCUUGCACCAGCAUGUCUUGAGUUAGAGGACUUAAAAUUAUCCAGUUUCUUCUGUGUUUCUACUUGAAUUGUGGAAAAGCUCUAUUAUCCAAUUAACUUCUCCAUAAUUAUUGUUGUAAUAUUAUUAUUGUUUGUAAAACAUGGUUCACAUAACUAGCUUGUGGAAACCAGCAGGUAAAAUGAAUUCUUAAGUUGACGCUUUUGGUUCUGUUGUAAAGCAAAGAUGAAUAAAAAUUUCCAAUGUCUUC